GCGGGCACCACGCUGAGUCCGACGCCGCCUGGCGGCGCCGGAGCCGGGGAACCAACUCUUCUGGGGUGAAUCUCCCGCGAGGCGCACCCACCGGUGCGAGGAGCGGGCGUAGGGCGAGUCGUGCCCGAAUCCGUCAGCUCACCCGGUAGGCGUACGACAGCAAGGGA
rnacentral:sRNA from 2 species